UUGACGGAGAGUUUGAUCCUGGCUCAGGACGAACGCUGGCGGCGGGCCUAAUACAUGCAAGUCGAACGCAGUCGACCUUCGGGUCAUAUGACUGAGUGGCGAACGGGUGAGUAACACGUGAGAAACCUGCCCCGAAGACUGGAAUAACCCGAGGAAACUCGGGCUAAUACCGGAUGUCCCCAGAUGGCCGCAUGGCCGACUGAGGAAAUGCUCCGGCGCUUUGGGAGGGUCUCGCGGCCUAUCAGCUUGUUGGUGAGGUAACGGCUCACCAAGGCUUCGACGGGUAGCUGGUCUGAGAGGACGAUCAGCCACACUGGGACUGAGAUACGGCCCAGACUCCUACGGGAGGCAGCAGUAGGGAAUCUUGCGCAAUGGGCGAAAGCCUGACGCAGCCACGCCGCGUGAGUGAUGAAGGCCUUCGGGUCGUAAAGCUCUUUCAGCAGGGACGAAAAUGACGGUACCUGCAGAAGAAGCCCCGGCCAACUACGUGCCAGCAGCCGCGGUAACACGUAGGGGGCAAGCGUUGUCCGGAUUUAUUGGGCGUAAAGGGCUCGUAGGCUGUUCAGUAAGUCAGGUGUGAAAACUCGAGGCUCAACCUCGAGACGCCACUUGAUACUGCUGUGACUAGAGUUCGGUAGAGGAGUGUGGAAUUCCUAGUGUAGCGGUGAAAUGCGCAGAUAUUAGGAGGAACACCAACAGCGAAGGCAGCACUCUGGGCCGAUACUGACGCUGAGGAGCGAAAGCGUGGGGAGCGAACAGGAUUAGAUACCCUGGUAGUCCACGCCGUAAACGGUGGGCACUAGAUGUGGGAUCCAGUCAACGGAUUCCGCGUCGUAGCUAACGCAUUAAGUGCCCCGCCUGGGGAGUACGGCCGCAAGGCUAAAACUCAAAGGAAUUGACGGGGGCCCGCACAAGCGGCGGAGCAUGUUGCUUAAUUCGAGGCAACGCGAAGAACCUUACCUGGGUUUGACAUGUAGGGAAAAGCCAUAGAGAUAUGGUGUCCUUAGGGGCC
rnacentral:rRNA from 1 species